CACAAGUUUUUCAUAUACCAUAUUCUCAGGUUCAGCUUCUGAAAUGAACUGUGGGUGAUUGAAUUUAGAUGUGAAGAAAUGAAUUUUUCAGCACUGAUUGCGGCACAGUUCGCUUCGUUGCAUAACUCGUAGGCGUUAUAUGAUAGACUGACACUGUGCUAGAAAAUUUGGAUGAAAGGGAAACGCCUUUUUCAACCCGUUCAUGUUCUAGCGAUGGCUAUGGACAUGUAUAGAAAGAUAAAGAUACAAAGUAGGAAGAAAGGGACGGGCCAGAAAUUGCACCCAGGACCUUCUACAUACAAAUCAGAAGCGGUAGCCACUAGAACACCAAGUCCUGCUUCUUAAAUUUGUGUUAGUUAUCAACUGAGUACUUUACCUGUCAAUGGACCAUUUCUUGGAUUCGUAUAUCGUUUGGUAAGCAUGAGGUACUUUAUGCACAAGAAAACAAAAAAAUUAAGAAUGACGAAAAGAUGCUGAAGAGACCGAAAAACGAACAUGUCGACCACCCUCAGCAUGGCCGUGAUGAAUAUCCGCGCGCUUACCGUUUCGUCUAAAUGAGUUCUUCACGAAUAGCUUUGCAAUAGCAUGUUGUUAUGGUGGUCAAAAUAUUCUAUUUGCUUGCCAAUUAGAACUUAAAAUGGAAACAAAACACUCCAAUUUCCAAGACACAUUGUUUGAGUAGUUGACAAAUUGAGACAUCAAUUUGUAAAAAAACACAUUUAAUUUGGUGGGAUUCGAUCUCGCGUCUCCGUAUCGCUAGUCCGGCGCUUUAACUAACUAAGCCACAGUUACGAUUUUGCGAAAUAGAAAAUCAAACAGGAUUCGAAGCACCACUCUAACCGGGACCUUUUUUCACAAUUUAACCUCUCCUUCAACAUUCGGAGAUCGUUCACUUUUUCAGAAGUUCGUUGAUUUGUGACAAUUUGUACCUUGAAGACUGUAAAACAGAAAAAAAGUAGUUUCAUGCUCGAAAACGAGUAGAAACCGUAACAAACUUAAUAAUUUCUAUUUGUACAUGAAAUAUUUGAAAUCGUAGGACAUUUUCAUCAAAAACUCGUCAAGCCAUUCUGUAGUAGAAAAGUAUUGUCAAAGAAAUGAAUUAAAAAAAAACUCAGUGAUUCCAUAAACAACAUCAGGGUUGAAUUAGUGUCCCAAAAAUAGACAUACAUCUAAUUUAUGCUUUUCGUCAAAUAAUAUCCAAAUUCUGGCUGGCUUUCUCCAAAGAGGCCAAAACUUAAUUUAGAAAUAAUGUUUGAAGAUCUCUCAAGUAAGGUGUCCCAAUAAUAAUUAAUAAAUCUAAUCGAAAAGUUUAAAUUUUUGAAAAAAAAAACCUUUGGACUCAAUUUUUCGUAACAUUUGUUUCUUUCUCUUUCUAAAGAAUAUAAUCGUUCUGAUGUUCCUAGUAAAACAUAGCAUGUACCCCUAAGAAUCAAUGUCAAUUUCAAGCUUUUGUUUCACGUUUUACAAAAAAAAUCGUGUAUGGGAAACUUGUAGGUAUGGUAAAAACCUACAUUUUUUUUUCGAAGACAGUUUGAUUCUAUCCUUAAAAUUGUAUGAGUUAUAUGUAGAUUUUCGAUUUCUCAAGGGGAUUUUUGGAGUCGAUUUAUUCCAAUUUAAAUAAUAUGACCAUUUAAAGCCUCUAGAAUAAACACAAAAAAAUGUAACUGACAAGACUUAGCAACAUGCAAUGUUCAGAACAAAUAUGCGCCAUUACUUGCUUUUCAAAUGCUCUGUAUUUUGUGUAAUUUUCAAGAUGUGAUUUUUCCUGGUUGCAAAGUUAUGACCAAUUUUGUAGAAAUUGUCCAGAUGUGCUAUAUCCCUUUCGUGACAAACUAGUAUAAUUGUGCUGUUGAGCGAUCCAAAUUUUUGAUUUUUUUUUGCAUCUGCAUAGUUGUUGCGCAAGCUGCGCAAAGCACCUCCGAGCCCAUUGUGCUUCUACCUUCAGCAACACUCAAUGCAGGUUGUGUGGAACCAACUGAAAAUGGAUCAAAUCGAACACCAAUAGACUAAGUGCAUUUCGUAAGCGGGAUACACCUAACACAAUCACGUACACGUAGCUAUAGGCAAAAAAACGAUUUGUUUACAAUCGAGUUGAUAACUAUUUGCAAACUUAUUAACUAAAGCGAAUUUAACUUAACGUAAAAAUUACGAACUAAUCCCGAUUAUUGAACUAGAACGGGCAUCAGUGAACUAGUGCUAAAAGGUGAAUUGGAGUUUAAAAGAUCUAAAAUUACUUAUAUUAUUUAACGAAUGAAAUUAAGCCUAUAUCACAGUUAUAGAUCACAGCCUGGUGCUAUUUAAUCACAGUAAGUGUUUAAUCACGGAUUAGUAUCUGCAGCUAGAACCGCCUAUCAUAAAUUAAGGUAAAUCUUCAGUAAUUAUUAUACCGUGUGAAUUUGCAAUUAACAUUACUGCACUACAGCUAGGUAUAGCAGAAGCAAGCAACCGUACGAGACCGCUUUCCGGACGUAACGGAUAAAAGAAACACUAAACGUAAGUCAAAUAAUUACAUCGUUUGAAUAGUCGAAUUAAAGUAUUUCCUAUGUUUCUAUUGUAUGCAACAAUUUAUAGGGAAAAUUUAACAUACAAGUUAAAAUACAAUAAAAACAACGUAUUCGUGUGUUCAAAUUUCUGGAAAUCCAGUCUUGUUACCGUUAUUGGGAACAAAUUAAAUUUUCCGUUUACUCCGGAAUGUCAAGCAGAAGCGUAGCGGGCGCGGGAUCGAUUAAGGAUGGUUUUCCGGGUGAGGGGGCAAAUUGCGGAGUGUGCCGUCGCAGUGAUAAAGAUUGCACCAAUGCUCGGAUGGUGCAAUGUGACGACUGUGACUUGUGGUACCAUUACGAUUGCGUGAACGUUAACGACAGUAUCCAGGAUUGCGAUUGGAGCUGCAAUGUGUGCGUGAGAACAUCGCUAGAGAAGCAAAAGCGUGCUUUAAGGGAGCAGAUGCAACAUUUCGAACGGCAGCAGAAGCAGUGGCAACAUGAGCAACAGAAGCGCCAAGAGCAGACUGAGGAACAGCAGGAAAAGCUUGAGCAGUGGCGAAAUCAACAGAAGUUGGAGCAGCGAGAGCAGGAGCAGUUCAGUCAGUUGCAGAUAGGACAGUUGCAGUUGCAGCAGCAGAAUUCGCCGUUGGAAGCAACAGCACCACAACCCAAAGCGGCAGUGAAAGUGGUAAGCGGUGUGUCGAAGCAGCAUCAGCAAGUGAAAAUCGUGAAUCCGGUCGUUUUUGAAGGUCCAACAGCAGGUGAUAAUUGUCAUACGGAUCCAUUGGCAAGUUCCACCGCCAACAAUGUGGGAUCGUCGAGUAGAAGCAACAGGGCGUCUUCAAAAUCAUCAAAGCGUUCGGUGAAGCUUCGAGAGCUGCAAGCGAAGGCCCUAGAAGCGAGACAGGCGCUGGAGAAGAAGCAACUGGAAGAGCGACUGGCAUUGGAGCAAGAGAUGCUAGAAGCCAGUGAUUCCGAGGCGGAGUCGACUUCAAGUCUCGCCAAAAUCAACGAGUGGUUGGAGAAGACGGAUAAUGCAGGGAAAGAAGCAGGAAUCUCGAUGGAUGGAACGCCGCUUCCGGUGUACAACGAACUUUUGCGAAAAUCGGUUGUCGGUUACCAAUCGCGUCUCCCUAGUGUUCCGGCCCCGGUAGUGCCAACGACUGUGCAACAACCUAGCGGAUAUUCGGCUCCGUAUCAUCCGCGUGUCUCGCAACCACCUGGUGGAAAUCUAGCUCCCGGUGUCAGAUACACUGAACAUGUGGGACCCAGCAGGAACUUCCCAGGAGUUCUUCCGAACUAUCAACCACCUCUGUGCGAAUAUCCUGAAAUGACUUCUGAAUUUCCAUCGAUGCCAGCGCACAACGCACCACCACAGCAGCCAAUUAGGACGACAGGGUAUCCAACAACGAGUUAUCAGCAGCAAUACACACAAAAUCUCCCGUAUUACGAUGCCAUUCCUCGAAAUGUCGGCAGACCGAUGAUGGCCUCAUCUACACCUCGACAGGACUUGGCUGCAUCGCAGCCGUCAUAUCAGCCACAAAUGCAUUAUGAUUCAGUACCACUGAACAGCGGCCACCUAGCGGCACGGCAGACGGUAAAGGAGCUCCCGAGAUUCGGCGGGGAUCCUGAAGAUUGGCCGCGGUUUAUUGCUGCGUACGAGCGGACGAGUAGGAUGUGUGCCUUCAGGAACGACGAGCUACUCGAUCGUUUGGAGAGGAGCCUGCAAGAUAAGGCGCUCAACGCCGUCAAAAGUUUGUUGCUACAUCCCGACAAUGUUCCGGUGAUCAUGAACCGACUGAAAACCCUCUUCGGAAAUCCGGAAUGUAUCGUAGAGACCAUGGUGCGGAGAAUUCGUAUGAUGCCACCUCCGAAGGCUGAGAAGAUGGAGACAAUCGUCGACUUCGGCGUUGCAGUGCAGAACCUGUGUGCCACCAUACAAGUGUGCCAGAUGGACGAACGGUUGUACAACGUUGCACUGCUGCAAGAGCUCGUGGACAGUCUUCCGUCAACAUUGAAAAUGAAGUGGGCGUUUCAUCGGAAGGAGAUUGGAGCUGCUACGCUGUUGGAGUUCAACAAUUGGCUGGGAGAUAUGGUUGAGGCGUUCAGUCAAGUAAUCAGACCGGCGGCUUGGACCAAACCACAGAAGACGGAGAUCAGGGUGGACAGGAAAGUACGAAAGGACGAAGCCUACGUACACGCGCACUCCGUUCAUCCGCAGGAGCAGAACGAUCGCAAUGCAUGUCUUGCAUGCGGCAAUGCGUGUAGUAGUCUCGAGAAGUGCAGCUGUUUCCUGAAGAUGUCGACGAACGCAAGAUGGGAUUUGGUGAACGACCUGAAAAUCUGCCGGAAGUGUUUGACGAAGCACUUCAAAACUUGUGAGAGGAAAAUUCCGUGCAACCAGGACGGUUGCAGUUUCCUGCAUCAUCAGUUGCUGCACGACGACAGCAAACACAAGAAGCCGUCAUCAAGCGCUCCAGUUCAGAACGCGUCGGUGAACACGCAUCAUAACUCGUUGCCAAAUGUGCUGCUGAAGUACGUGCGCGUUACACUGCAUGGAAACGGGAAAUCGAUUACUACAUACGCCUUCUUGGAUGCUGGAUCAACGUCGACACUGGUGGAGCACAGUCUGUGGAAGGAGCUGAAUCUCAACGGCGAGAAGUCUCCACUUUGCAUUGCAUGGACGGGGGGACAAGGCCGAUACGAACAAGAUUCAGUAGUUUUCGCGGCCGAAAUAGCCAGUGCUGCGAACCCAAAACAACGUUUCCAUCUUUCGGAGAUACACACGGUACGCAGCCUAGAUCUUCCCGAGCAGUCAAUGUCGGUGACCAAGCUAGCAAGGCAUUUUCAGCACCUGAAAGAUCUGCCGAUCGAAUCUUACGCUGCAGCAAAACCCCGGAUCCUGUUGGGUGUUGACAGUUCUAGACUCGAGUAUCCGCUCGACUCCAGAGAGGGAAGAGAGAAUCAGCCGACAGCUGUACUAACCCGACUUGGUUGGAUAGUCUACGGCCCGUGCUCGACGUCGGGACAAACGGUUUCGAAAAGCGAUAUUUCGUACAGUUACCACAUCUGCCAGUGCGAAGGACUACAUGCAGCCGUUAAACAAUACUACUCUCUCGACAAUCUCGGCAUACAACUCAACGGAAAGCCACUGUUAUCUAAGGAUGACGAACGGGCGAUGAAGCUGUUGGAAGAAAACACAGUUCUGCAGAAUAAGCGGUUCGAGACCUGCCUGCUAUGGCGCUACGAGGAUGUUCGGCUACCGUCGAGCAAAGCCAUGGCUCUAAAACGGCAUGACUGCCUGGCCAAGCGCAUGGUUCGGGAGCCGCUGCUGGCCAAGGCUCUUCAAGAGAAAAUCCUAGACUACCAAACAAAGGGAUAUAUCCGCAAACUUUCGGCGCAGGAGGAAUCCACGUGGUCUGGACGUUCGUGGUAUCUGCCAAUCUUCCCGGUGGUGAACCCCAACAAACCCGGUAAGCUACGGAUCGUCUGGGAUGCUGCCGCUAAAGUGGGAAAACUCUCACUAAACUCGUUUCUGCUAAAAGGGCCAGAUCAGGUGACGCCAUUGCAGCAUGUCCUUCAACGGUUUCGCGAAUACCGCACGGCAGUCUCAGGAGAUAUCCGUGAAAUGUUUCACCAAGUCCGGGUCAAGCCUAUCGAUCAGCAUUGUCAGCGGUUCCUGUGGAAUGACGGCGUCCCCGGGAAGGCUCCUUCGACGUACGUGAUGGAGGUGAUGACGUUCGGUGCAAGCUGCUCGCCAAGUAGUGCACAGUACGUCAAGAAUCUGAAUGCAGCUCGAUUCCAGAAUCAGUAUCCGAAAGCUGUGGAGGCGAUAUGCAAGGGGACGUAUGUUGAUGAUAUGCUCGACAGUGUUGAAACCGAAGCAGAAGCAGUGAAGCUCGCGCAGGACGUACGCCAGAUACACGCCGAAGGUGGAUUCGAGAUCCGGGGAUGGCUGUCGAACUCCAAAGAAGUACUAGACUGUAUGGGUGAGCAGAGGAUUCUCCAGAAGGAUUUAAACAAAUCUGCAGAGCUGGCGACCGAGAAAGUUCUCGGAAUGUGGUGGGAUACGAUCAGCGAUACCUUCACGUUUAAGAUUCCUAAGCGGUGUUGCCAGGAGCUUCUUUCCGGAGAACAAGUUCCCACCAAGCGGGAAGUACUACGCAUUCUUAUGUCAGUUUAUGACCCUCUUGGACUCCUCGCGAAUGUGCUGAUGUACCUUAAAGUCCUACUACAAGAGAUCUGGAUUUCCAAGAUUGGUUGGGACGAGCCGAUCCACGAACAACACCAAGAAAAGUGGAGAAUUUGGCUCAGUGUACUGCAUAAAGUUGACACAGUAUCUAUUAACCGGUGCUACCGCACGUUGACCUCUUCGUCAACCGUGAGCAACGUAGUCCAGUUGCACGUUUUCGUCGAUGCAAGUGAGAAAGGGUAUGCAGCAGUCGCCUACUUUCGGUUCGAGGAGAGAAAUACUAUAGAGUGCGCUUUCGUCACGGCCAAAACACGCGUCGCACCCCUGAAGUAUAUGUCGAUUCCACGAUUAGAGCUUCAAGCAGCAGUAAUUGGUACGAGGCUAGCGAAGAUGAUAGGAGACACUCAUAGAAUUCCAGUACGCGAGCGGUUCUUCUGGUCCGACUCUAGAGACGUGCUCUUCUGGAUACGUUCUGAUCACAGGAGAUUCGACAAAUUUGUCGGCGCCAGAGUGGGGGAAAUUCUAGAAAACAGUGAAGCAUCCGAGUGGCUAUGGAUACCGACAAAGCUGAACGUGGCUGAUGAAGGUACGAAGUGGCAGAAGAUCCCUGACCUCUCUCCAUCGAGCCGAUGGUUUGCCGGCCCGGAUUUCAUGUGGCAGCAACAAAGCUCCUGGCCAGCGCAGCCGAGGGACCAUGAAGGAACUAUCGUCUCAGUCAACGCGCACGCAAUCUACGAACCCGUUCUCAACUUCACCAAAUACUCCAACUGGCGGAAGCUUAUACGGAUCACUGCGUAUGUUCUCCGGUUUGUGGGUAACCUGCGUACCAGACUCCAAAGGCAACAAUCAGUCAAUGGCAUACUCAGGCAACCAGAGCUUAUUGAAGCGGAACGCUGUAUCUACCGUCAAACUCAGCUGGACGCAUACGGCGAAGAAAUAACACUUCUACGAAGUGCCGCGAAGGAAAAUGGAAAUAAGGGAAUACAUAUACCUAAAAGCAGUUCACUCUACAAGCUUUCGCCCUUCCUCGACGUCCACGGAGUGCUACGCACGAAAGGAAGAACUAGUGGUUGUCAGUAUGUUGAUGCUGAUGCAGUCCAUACUAUCGUGCUACCGAGAGAGCACCCGAUUACAAUGUUAGUGGUGCAAUUCACCCAUGAGCGCUACCACCACCUCAAUCACGAAACAAUUGUUAACGAACUGCGCCAAAAGUAUUGGAUCCCUCGACUCCGUAAUGUCUGCAACAAGGUGCGUCGACAGUGCCAGCAUUGCAAGAACGCUAGGGCUCAACCGCAGCCGCCUAUUAUGGCCGAUCUCCCUCCAGCUCGGCUAGCUGCUUAUUCUCGACCGUUCUCUUUUGCUGGGAUCGAUUAUUUCGGGCCAAUUCAAGUCGUCGUGGGAAGGCGUAUCGAGAAGAGAUGGGGCGUGCUAAUUACGUGCCUGGUAGUACGCGCUAUCCACAUAGAGAUCGCACACUCGCUCAACACUAGUUCCUGCAUCAUGGCCUUGCGGAACUUCAUGGCUAGAAGAGGAGUCCCGUUGGAGCUGUUUAGCGACAGGGGAACGAAUUUUGUCGGUGCCAAUCGCGAACUGACCGAAGCUGUUCGACUCCUGGACCAUGAUCAGCUGAUGCAGGAAUUUGUGACACCGGAUACCAAGUGGACUUUCUUGCCUCCAAGCAGUCCACACAUGGGUGGAAGCUGGGAAAGGCUGGUACAGUCGGUGAAGAAGAUCUUAGGCAAGAUGCAGCUUCCGAGAACUCCAACCGACGAGGUCCUUCGUAACAGCCUGAUGGAAGUUGAAUGCAUAAUAAACUCCCGCCCCCUCACCUACGUUCCUAUUGAUGAUGCCGAGCACGAAGCAUUAACCCCUAAUCAUUUUUUGUUGGGUUCUUCCGGAGGUUCAAAACCAUUGGUCGCAUACGAUGAUAGCCCCGCUACGCUGGUGAACAACUGGCGAACUUCGCAAAUCUACGCCAAUAUCUUUUGGAGGCGUUGGUUGCGAGAAUACUUGCCAACAAUAAGUCGUCGAACAAAGUGGCACUACCCAACGAAACCUAUAGAAAUCGGUGACGUAGUGAUCAUCGCCGAUCCGGAUCUACCAAGAAACUCGUGGCCAAAGGGCCGCGUUUUGGACAUAAGCUGCAGAAAUGGCCAAGUGCGUAGCGCCACCGUGAGGACACCGAAUAACAUCUAUAUACGCCCUGCAGUGAAGCUUGCGGUGCUGGACGUCGGUGCAACCAAGAAUACACAAGCUUGUGAACCUGAAGCUUGUGUACUGGGGGGGACUGUUGCGCAAGCUGCGCAAAGCACCUCCGAGCCCAUUGUGCUUCUACCUUCAGCAACACUCAAUGCAGGUUGUGUGGAACCAACUGAAAAUGGAUCAAAUCGAACACCAAUAGACUAAGUGCAUUUCGUAAGCGGGAUACACCUAACACAAUCACGUACACGUAGCUAUAGGCAAAAAAACGAUUUGUUUACAAUCGAGUUGAUAACUAUUUGCAAACUUAUUAACUAAAGCGAAUUUAACUUAACGUAAAAAUUACGAACUAAUCCCGAUUAUUGAACUAGAACGGGCAUCAGUGAACUAGUGCUAAAAGGUGAAUUGGAGUUUAAAAGAUCUAAAAUUACUUAUAUUAUUUAACGAAUGAAAUUAAGCCUAUAUCACAGUUAUAGAUCACAGCCUGGUGCUAUUUAAUCACAGUAAGUGUUUAAUCACGGAUUAGUAUCUGCAGCUAGAACCGCCUAUCAUAAAUUAAGCUAGGUAUAGCAGAAGCAAGCAACCGUACGAGACCGCUUUCCGGACGUAACGGAUAAAAGAAACACUAAACGUAAGUCAAAUAAUUACAUCGUUUGAAUAGUCGAAUUAAAGUAUUUCCUAUGUUUCUAUUGUAUGCAACAAUUUAUAGGGAAAAUUUAACAUACAAGUUAAAAUACAAUAAAAACAACGUAUUCGUGUGUUCAAAUUUCUGGAAAUCCAGUCUUGUUACCGUUAUUGGGAACAAUAGUCUUUGUUUUGUGUGAUGCGAACUGUUUUAAUAGUUAAGCCAUUACUUAUAUUUGUAUGUGUGCAAACAAACUUUUGUUAACGUUGGAUGUGAGUUUCACCACAAAAAGUUAAGCGAUAAGUAGACAAAAACCGUAAAACAUGAAAAAGUUUUAUCCGUCGUAUAUUUUUCAUUUUCGAUCUAUCUAGGUAGUCAAAGUUAGAAAUCGUAAGAUAAAGAGUAGUUCUUCCAAAUGAGGAACAACAGUUGUUGUUUUGUCGGGAAAUCUAAGAGUUCUGGGGAGCCCAAGUUGAGCCAUUUGUUUGGAGAUUUCACUUUUUUGCGAUCCGUUCCGAAAGGGAUACGAACCGUUU